rnacentral:rRNA from 1 species
UAAAAAUUAUAGAAUUUGGCGGUAAUUUAGUCUUGUUAGAGGAAUCUGUUUUUUAAUUGAUAUGCCACACAUUAUCUUACUUAUUGACUAAAGUUUGUAUACCAUCAUUAGCAGAUAAUUGUUAGAGGAAAUUAUUUUAAUUAAUUGAUAUUAAUAAAAUUAGAUCAAGGUGCAGCUGAUAAAUAAGUUAAAAUGGAUUACAAUAAGUUUUAUUUAUUACGAAAAUAUUUAGGAAGUAGAAUAUAGAAGGAGGAUUUAAUUGUAAUAUAAAUUUAAUAAGUUUAUAUGAUACAAGCUCUAGAUUAUGUACACAUCGCC